rnacentral:rRNA from 1 species
UACGUAGGGGGCGAGCGUUAUCCGGAUUCAUUGGGCGUAAAGCGCGCGCAGGCGGGCUUGCAAGCGGGGCCUUUAAUCUUGGGGCUUAACCUCAAGUCGGGUUCCGAGCUGCAAGCCUCGAGUGUGGUAGGGGAAGGCGGAAUUCCCGGUGUAGCGGUGGAAUGCGCAGAUAUCGGGAAGAACACCGAUGGCGAAGGCAGCCUUCUGGGCCACUACUGACGCUGAGGCGCGAAAGCUGGGGGAGCGAACAGG